rnacentral:rRNA from 1 species
UGAGGAAUAUUGCACAAUGGGCGCAACCCUGAUGCAGCGACGCCGCGUGAGCGAUGAAGCCCUUCGGGGCGUAAAGCUCUUUCGACCGGAACGAUAAUGACGGUACCGGGAGAAGAAGCUGCGGCUAACUACGUGCCAGCAGCCGCGGUAAUACGUAGGCAGCAAGCGUUGUUCGGAGUUACUGGGCGUAAAGAGUGCGUAGGCGGUUUUCUAAGUUCGGUGUGAAAUCUCCCGGCUUAACUGGGAGGGUGCGCCGAAGACUGGGAAGCUGGAGUGUGGGAAAGGCAGGCGGAAUUCCUGGUGUAGCGGUGAAAUGCGUAGACAUCAGGAGGAACACCGGCGGUGUAGACGGCUUGCUAGACCAUAACUGACGCUGAGGCACGAAAGCGUGGGUAGCAAACA